CCAUGGUAAACAUCAAUGUGCUGACUGCCACAGCUCACAACCCCGAGGCAAGCCGGCUCCAAACAUGCACAGAGAGGAGUCUGAAAUGGACACUCGCAGACCUGAGCACACAGCUGUCGUGCACAAACACUGAGCGAAGAGCAAGGAAUCAGCGAGAGAGACGAUACAGCCUCCACGUUUUCAGGUUGUGGGGCUUCAAGAUGAGAAGAGCCAUUGAAGAACGCAACCACGUGUUGGCUUUUCCCUUCAUUUUCACUCACCUUUGAGAGGCAUCUCCACAAAAUAAAUACACAUUUGACAUGAGUCAAAGCACUUAAGACACGCUAAAACAGUUAUGCAUCAAAACAGACUUUUGUUCCGUCUUUAAAGAACCUGUAAAGUCAGUUCAAAGAUUUGUUUCUGCUCCCCCACUAGACCACCUGUUUGCAUCAGUGUUUAUCAAGUGCAAUUGUGACAUGCAGUUAGCUAGGUAGCUAUGCACACACCAAAAAUACAUUCCCAUUUGGAAAGUCCGCUGACAUGGCCGCAUUAGAGCGCCACGUUGUUGGCUGUAACUGCACGCACGUCACGCAGGGAAAGAUGGAAGACAGGAGAGGAGCCUCCCACUGGGCACGUCUGCUUGAGAGUGCCCCAUUGUCCGGGUGUGGGAAAAGUCCAGAAUGAAUACUAUUGUAGAAACAAAUGUUUUGUUUGUUUCUGCUGACGCCGUCAAGAAAGUGCAGUAUCUUCAAAAGGACCGAGAGAAAGUCGAAAAGCUGUUGCUCGUUUGGAUAAAUGGAAAAAGAGCGCACGGGGGAUGGCAUUUCUGAGACGAUCAUCUGCAUCUGCUGUAAGCCAAGAAGUUAAAGUGGAUUCUAUUUUUUAUUCUUCAUAAUUGUAGCUACAUGGUUGUUAAAGUUAAGGGGUGUUGUGAUUUCAUACUGGUUGUGAACGCACCACAAAGACUUGGACCACUGUUUGGGUGCUUGUUGGGGGGGGCCGUCGCAUUUGAAUGAGGACAGUUCCCUUACUGCUGUUAACUUGGUGAAUAAAAGAUCAAUUUUGAUCAAUCA